UACGUAGGGUGCAAGCGUUGUCCGGAAUUAUUGGGCGUAAAGAGCUCGUAGGCGGUUUGUUGCGUCGGCUGUGAAAUCCCGAGGCUCAACCUCGGGUCUGCAGUCGAUACGAGCAAACUAGAGUGUUGCAGGGGAGACUGGAAUUCCCAGUGUAGCGGUGAAAUGCGUAGAUAUUGGGAGGAACACCGGUGGCGAAGGCGGCCCCCUGGACCGGUACUGACGCUGAUGCGCGAAAGCGUGGGUAGCAAACGGG
rnacentral:rRNA from 1 species